AAUAAAGUGCCUGAUAAAAGGAUUAUUUUGAUAGAAUAAAAAAUGUAAAUUUAUUUACCUUUAUUA
rnacentral:tRNA from 1 species